UGCUGGUUCCCACUUUAACCCUACCGGCGAGCCGGGAUCAUAGAAACAUUAAAUAUUCAAAUCUGCAAGUCAUCAUUAAUUCUGACAAGAUUCUCAACUCGAAAUUCUUAGCGGUCUGCGACAAGGUGUGGUAUGAUUUCUGGUUAAGAAUUUUCUUGUGUAACAGGGUGUGUCGUGCUAAAUGUUAAUGUAUUGUUAUUGGGAAAAGUUAACAGUUUUCACGUGUGACAGGGUGUGUUAUUCUAAAUGUUGAGAAUUUCUUCCUGUGACAGGGUGUGUCGUGCUAAAUGUUAAUGUUUUGUUAUUGGGAAAAGUUAACAGUUUUCACGUGUGACAGGGUGUGUUAUUCUAAAUGUUGAGAAUUUCUUCGUGUGACAGGGUGUGUCGUGCUAAAUGUUAAGAUUUUGUUAUUGGGAAAAGUUAAGAAUUUUCUUGUGUGAAAGGUUGUGUCGUGUUAAAUGUUAAGAUUUCGUUCCAACUUUUUGAUAUAGAAAUUGACUGCAUUUUAGAUGGAAAAUAGAUUUGAUUUUCGAUUUAGUAACAUAGCAUUUUUUAGCAGUUCAAACAACCCCAGCCCAACCCCAACAAACCCUACCCCAACAAACCCUACUCCAACACCAGCAAUCCCAAACCAACACAAAAGAACAAGAAAAUAUAUCGGCAAAAGCCGAUUUGAGUUUUUGCAACGGUAAGUGAUAAUGAUGUUUUUGUUAUAACUUAUAAUAUUUAAAGUUAAACAUUUAAACUGUCUUAACUUUUAUAGUAAAGGAGUUAUUCCGGAAGGAAAAAAGUAAGUAUAAUUUAUAUCUACAGUGUUUAACUAAAUUGCAAUUG